AUACGGAGGGAGCAAGCGUUAUUCGGAAUCACUGGGCGUAAAGGACGCGUAGGCGGGUUUGUAAGUCAGGUGUGAAAUCCUACAGCUCAACUGUAGGACUGCACUUGAAACUACAGACCUAGAGUAUGGAAGGGGCAGAUGGAAUUAGUGGUGUAGGGGUAAAAUCCGUAGAUAUCACUAGGAAUACCGAAAGCGAAGGCGAUCUGCUGGGACAUUACUGACGCUGAGGCGUGAAAGCGUGGGGAGCAAACAGGAUUAGAAACCCCAGUAGUCC
rnacentral:rRNA from 1 species